GGACUACCCCCUGGACUUAAGCAUAUCACUAAGCGGAGGAAAAGAAACUAACUAGGAUUCCCCCAGUAACUGCGAGUGAAGAGGGAAGAGCUCAUCAUUGGAAUCUGGCAGUGUUGCACUGUCCGAGUUGUAGAUGAGGAGUAGUCCAUCUGGACUGCAUGGCGUCCAAGUACAAUAGGCCGUCAGUGGGACAUCAUAGAGGGUGACAAUCCCGUCCUUGAUGCCAAUGUGCAAGUCCGUUACGAUGGCUAUCUCAGAGAGUCGAGCAGUUUGGGAUUUGCUGCUUAAACAUGGGAGGUAGAUUCCUUCUAAAGCUAAAUACAGGCGAGAGACCGAUAGAGAACAAGUACCGCAAGGGAAAGAUGAAAUAGCACUCUGUGAAGGGAGUCAAAAGGCGUGAAAUUGUUGCGAGAGAAGCGAUUCAAGUCAGCGUAGCUAGGCCCAUCAAGCGUCUCGCUUUGGACUAGCUUUGCCAGCGGUCUUGUCCUUUAGAGAGAGAGAGACUUGACUUGUUAACGAUGUCCAGCCUGGUAUGCACAGGUAGCCCCCCGGGGUCAGUGGCAUGGCUGGUGGAAUGGCUUGCAAUCGACCCGUCUUGAAACACGGACCAAGGAGUCUAACAUGUAUGCGAGUAUAAGGGUGGCAAACCCGUAUGCGCAAUGAAAGUGAUUUUCGGUGAUUGAGAAUGGCCUGAUGACCAGACAAGCAAUACAUGUCCCUCGGACGGCCAUUGCCCAAGUUCCGUGGUAGAUCCCAUGAACAUGGAGUUGGAGCAUACAUGCUAGGACCCGAAAGAUGGUGAACUAUGCCUGGACAAAGCGAAGCCAAAGGAAACUCUGGUGGAGGCUUGUAGCGAUUCUGACGUGCAAAUCGAUCGUCUGAUCUGGGUAUAGGGGCGAAAGACUAAUCGAACCAUCUCAUAGCUGGUUCCUGCCGAAGUUUCCCUCAGGA
rnacentral:rRNA from 1 species